UGCGCAGGUGGGCUGGUAAGUUCGAUGUGAAAGCCCCGGGCUUAACCCGGGAAAGGCAUUGGAUACUACUGGUCUGGAGGAUUGGAGGGGGGACGUGGAAUUCUUGGUGUAGCAGUGAAAUGCGUAGAUAUCAAGAGGAACACCAGUGGCGAAGGCGAGUCCCUGGACAAUACCUGACACUGAGGCACGAAAGCCAAGGGAGCAAACA
rnacentral:rRNA from 1 species